GGUGGUGGGGGGGCAGGGGUGGGAGCAAGAGGUUGCGGGGCGAUGGUGGAAGGUUUAACGGGACCAAUUUCUGGAACAUUCGGGACUGCGGCACCCUACGGCCAAGACCGAGAUUUGGGUCUGCGCAGGCGACGAUGGGUGGUCCGACGGGCUUCAGGACUUGAUGGCGUAACCCCCUUCUUCCCCCACGUACGUAUCUGCUGGGAUCGGGGGCGAUGUCUCUGCGUAUGUGGGUGCUCUGUCUUUCUCACCUUCUUUCUCGCUUUUUUGCUAUUUUUUCUCUGAGAGAGGUUUUUUGUGUGUUUUUUUUUUUUUUUCCACUUUAAUUUUCUUUUCUUUUAGUGUCAGCUGCUCAAGCCUGACCGGGGUAGAGGCUAGAGGAGCAAGCUGUCCCCAGCGUCCCACCUGACCUACCAGCCUUUGCCCCCGUUUCCUUCUUUUGAACAGACAGACAGACUGGUUUUCCAGGUUGUUUGGGUAUCCGCGUCUGUCUGUCCAUCCACGUCGUUCUUAGGUGGCAGGUAGGAAGUGAGGAGGAGAGGUGCUGGGAGGAAGGUGGAAAGGCAUAGCUUUCCAGGGGUUGCCUUAUUGAAAUGUUCAGCCUCGGGGCAGCUGGGCUGGUGGGGAGCCGGUGGGCAGGAUGGGGCGUGGGUUGGGAGAAGUGGGGUAAAGCUGGUAGGUUUGUCACUGCGUAGUUGGGAAAAGUGGGGAAUGGUGACGCAGUCACUGUUGCAUCUUGUUAGGAGCUCCAAGGGGGACAGGUAGUGAGGCUCCCGGCAUCUGUAGGGCCAGCUGAGAGGGGUUAGGGAUGAGCUGAGAAGGGAAGCUAGCAUUUAGAGAUUAAAUGUCAUCCUUUUGGCGUUGGAAAGUUGUUUACCUUGCGCUCUCUGUGUCUCCAUGUUGGCACCCUUCCAGUUCACAUGUGAUGGCCUUCCUUGUACUGCUGCAUCAUUAACUAAGUGACUGAGCUGGCCUUCCAUUGGCCAGGGGAGGGCUCUCACUCCAGACAUUUCCUCUGAUUGGUGGGUGGGCCAAUGGCAGGUGAAAACCUUUUUUUGAUUGGCUGAGGGCAGGGUAUCAAAUCUGAAUUUGCAUUUCACUUGCUUAAAGGGGAGGGGGGGAGAAGCCCAGCAGCUUUCUAAAAUCUGUUUAGGGGUGUGCGUAUGCUCCUGUGUCUGUGCCUGCUUUUGACUGACCAGGUGAAGCCUCUUCCUAUGCCUUUUUUAUUUCAAGCACUCAGAGGAAGAGGAGCUCCGGGUUCCCCAAACUUUUUUUUUUUUUUUUUUUUUGGAGUAGGAAGGGUUGGAGAGAUGGGUGCGCAGAGGGUUGACCAAACUGGAAGGAAGUAUUUGUCCUUUAGUUUGGUGUCGGAAAAGGGAAUUUUCCAAUCAGCCACACCUCGGUGUUGCGGCACAAUAAUUCUUGGCUCCCCUGGAAACGCACGGGGCAAGGUAGGACAGAUCUGCUGCUGCUGACACUGCCACCACCAUGGGCUUCCUGCUGCCUCUGGGCUGCUCCCUGGGGACGAGAGAUUUGCAUUGACGGGGCUGUCCAGAGCUGAGCCCAGUGUGGGAAAGACCUGCCUUCUGGAAGCUGCUGCUCCUUGGUCUUGGAAAGGUGAGGAUGGGGACUGACCCCAGGAUGUUGCUCAGAAACUGCGUAUUUGGUGGGAUUUCCGGGAGAGCCACUGGGCCGCAAGAGGUUUGGAGGUCCCAGGUUAGGAGGGUUUGUCAUUCUGGGGAGUGAGGAGAGUGAGAGCAAAACUAGGGCAGCAGGCUGUUCUCCUGUGGUUGGGGGAGGGAGACUUGGAAAAAUCAGGGUCCCGGCUCCCCAUCGAGUCCGUGUCGCAGGUCUCACGUUUGUGGGGAGGGGGUUUCAGAGCCCUGCGCCUUGCGCAGUGGCCCCCGCCCAUGACUGCGCAUCCGGGAGCGCAAUGCGCCCUGGGUCGCUGGCCUAGGACAGCACCGCCCUUCUUCUUACAUAACGGAGGCACGGCUGUGCCUUCUCGGCCUUUCUUUGCAACCCUGCCUCCUGGCUCCCCAGGGCCCAUGGAGCUGGGGAGGGUCUGGUUGGGGAGCAGGGGAAGACUUGGCUCCCUCGGAGGGUUAGCCCUCGUCCAGUCAGUGAUGGGAGUUGGGUUUGAAGACAGAAGUGGGCUGCUGUCCCCCUUGGGAGGUGGAACGCAGAAUGUCCUUCUCAAUGCCCUGUGUCACCCAUGGCCCCCAGGACCUCUCGGGGGCAUGGGGUGUGACGUCCGUUCUUUCCUUCUUAUGCUUUCUGGGUUUUGAGAGGAAGUUUCUGAAGGGAAAGACAUGACGAUUCUAAGAGUGAGGAAGGGUGUGUGUCGGGGGCCCAGUUGGGAGGUGGUUGACAGUUCACUCCCCUUGUCACUGGCUUCCCUUUCCUUGGGUGGGUUGAUAGUGUUUUUGACUCCUUUUAUCCUAAGGCUGCCAUUUUGGAGGCAUUUCUGCUGGUCUCUGACAUGGUGACGUUGGUUUUUCUGGUCCUGCUGUGCCAGUUCCGCAGAGUGGGCGGGGGGCGGGGGCUGUGACGGAGGAGGGGAGGGGGGGCAGAAGCGCAGCAGAGGCGGGCCCAGUGGUGGCUGCCGCAGUGAAGGUGGCCCCAGGGGCAGGACCGCCCAGUCCCACCCUCGGACACAGUCUUGGGUGGGGGUUCCACCACCUGGGGCCCCGGCUUGGCCAGAGGGUGGGCAUGGCUAACAGAAGGCCUGGGUCUCCCAUGCCCUCGUUGGCCUGAGGCUUAAAGCAGUCCAGGGCAGAAGCUGAGUUUUUUUUUUUUGGGGGGGGGUGUGUGUGGAGGGGGCGACUGAAGGCAGAGACCUGGCUGCUCAUCUCAGACGUGUCGGACCUGUGGUUUGUGUUCCCCAAAUAGGCUCUGUCUCCGGCAGUUUUCUCUAUGGGGACAAGGGGGUGGGGUCCAAGGCAGCUUUGAGGAUUUGUUCGAUGGCCCUCCCUUCUCAUUGUUUUUCUUUUCUGCUCCUCGUCAUGCCCCCUGCCAGAGCCAUGGUUCCAGCUGUAGUCCUCCGGUGAGGCUCCCUGCUGCCCGUCCCUCUCCUUUCCAGGCCCUUCUGCGUGCAGCGGCCAUCUUGUCUUUUCUUGCUUAGAGGUUUAAAAUGGUUUCUCAUCAUUUCCAGAGUACAACUCCUUCCCUUUGGCACAGUGCUGAGGACUGUGUGUAACUAGCCUUAGCUCUCCUCCGCAGGCUUACUCUUCUCCGUUUCCCCAGGUGGACCACGUAUUCCGACAAAGCCAGGCAACUUACUUUUUCUUGCUUUUCCUAUCUCUCGGUUUUCCCUACUGGUAUUUUCCACGCCUCCUUGGCUCCACCGCACCCACCUGCGGCAGCCCCACCGUCCUCCUUGGACCUUUCCCGAUCACCUUCACAAGCAGCAGUCCUCGUAACCUCUCCUUGCUCCCUCCGGCCAAGCUCUCGUACACUUUGUCCCUCUCAUGUGCUACUUUGGUGGCCUUAUGGCUCUUUGUGUAGAAGUCUUGGGUCACCUGCGAGAUGAUGAGCUGCAAGGCGCUGAGAGUCAAGGAAGGAAGACACUUAACCUAUUUGGUGCCUUCUGUUCGCCAGGUGCCACGUCAGGCUGUUCCACGGACCUUCUUUCAUUUACUGCUUUCCACAACCCUCCGAGGAGAGUCCCGUGACUGAGAACUCAGAGGAGUUGAGCUCCAUGAGUCGGUGACAGCCUCUUGGAGACUCAGGCUAAGCUGGGGACAGAGCUGGUGUGCAGAAGACAGCCAUGAUACCGCCUAAUAGAAUGGCCCGUUUGCAUUUAUUUGGAACAAAAAAAGGAGAUGCCUGGCAGCCUGGCUUUCUGCAGCUAAGUAUUCGUCUGCAUUCUGGUUUUCCGUCACACAUCGGAAGCGAGAGAUGUUCAUUGAACCCACCCAGCUGCCGUGACUUCUCCUUUCCCCGCGCACCCCUGCCCCUGAUCCUCCAGCAGAGAUUGGAUUUUCUGGUGCGGCUGGAGAGCUGCAGAGAGGCUAGAUCCCAGUGUCCAGCCCCCGCACAUCGCCCUCACACUCAGGAGAAGUCGAUUUUCCCUAAAGCGGAGCCUAAAGCCCAUGUCCCUCAGUGCGGUGUUAUUAAUGGGCCGACGGGAAGGGCCCUGCUUGCCCUCACUGCCCCCAGCGGGGAGGUGAGGCUCUCGGCUGGCUGGCUGGGGGAGGACGGUCCUUGCCAGCAUCUAGCAUGGUUCUCUGCCAAGUUCUAGCUCCAAAUCUCUAGGCCGCUAGGAACCUAGACUAUAUAUAGCAUUGUGCUAAGCAAUUCUUAUCGGACAUGUCUGCCCUCCCCUGCGGGAGAGGAGCCCUUCUCCCAGGGAACCGGAACCUAGAGAGUGUGAGCCUUCUCCAAGGGGUCUUUCGUUCCAGGAAGGGCUGUGUGUGUGUGAGCGUGUGUGUGUGUGCGCGCGCGCGUGGCUGUGUCUGCUUCAGGGCUGCCAAGCUUUCUUUCCUUUUCCCUGUUUCAGAUGCUGGGAGAUCGGAAGGUCUGAUUGGGAUGAGGGCCAGGAGGUUCUUGAUGGUGUGCGAUGUGGCCUAUGGCGCCCACCAGCCUCCCGCAUGUCUUCUUGGUUUCCUGUUUGCCUUCUUUGCCCAAGGAGGUCUUCUGACCUCUUGAGCUUCUUUUGGAUCUGCUGUCUUCCCUGCCCUCCUCUACCUCUUCCUCCUCCUUCCUUUGAUUCUCUUUCGGGUAUGUGACGGCAGACUGGGCUACGGGCAUCCGGGAGCUGUGUCUGCUCGCCGCCCUCACCACCGCCCCCUCCCCCCCCCCCCCACCAGUUUGGGGUUUCUGGAAAUCUGGCUUUAGUCAGCCGUCCUCUGGAGGAAUUGGGUGGUGACUGAGCGUUUCGUGCUGGGUGGUACGGGGCAGAGCAGGCUGGAUAUUUGCCUCCUCCCUCCCGUAGGUGCUGUCGAGCCACCGAUUUUCUGUGGUUCCGCGACCCCGAGUGCUGACUGAUGUGACAGGUUCCGGUCUUGUCAGUGAAUCAUCGCCAAGCUGCUUAUUGGAACCCAGAUGCAGCAAGAAAAUGGGAUUUAACCCCUUCCCGGCCUCUCAGGUAAGUCAGGUGUGGGCUGACGCUUCUGGCCCCACCCCCCCGCCUCCCAGCCCCCUUCCCUUCUCAUGGAGACCGUUUUCCUUAGUCAGUGGGGAAUCCUCAAACGUCUCCAUUCACAAUCUCCCAAACAAUGCUCUCUUCUUUCCAUUCUCCUACUCCUGGCUUUUCUGUGAAUGGGGUUAGUAACCAGCAAGGACUUGGGGGAAGGGCCAGCCACAGUGAUCCGGCUGCCGGGAUGUGGGAGAUGGCAGGGACGCGUUUCUGGGUGUGGCAGUCAGCAGAGCGGUUGGGCCUCCCACAGUGACUGGCCGGGAACUCUCCUUGGCCCCCAACAUCCAGCAUGAGAUUCUGGGUUUGAGCCCGGUUGGGGGCGGGGAGUCUGCCUGGGACUUGGGUGUGCCCUUGCUUGUGUAUCCCAGUGGAUGUUCACUCUGACUCUGGACACCUUGGGGCUUGCGUCUGCAGCCGUAGCCUGGGGUUUAGACUAUGGGCUGGGCAGUAGACUUCAGGGCUCUUUCUCCACUUGCGUGUGUCAUGGGGCUUGUUUUGGGGGUUUUUUUGUUUGUUUUUUGUUUUGAGUAAAUCACUCUCUUCCUCUAGGCCCUCAUUGCCUUCACCUUAAAAAAAAAAAAAAAAAAAAAAAAAUUCCUGGCCUGGUAAACCAUUGCAAAGCAUCUCCAGGCUGUUGACGUACAAAUGUUUUUUCUCUGCCUCACUUGAUGCUGGUCACAGUAAUAGCAACGGUGAUUAAAAAUGAUGUUGGGACUGCAGAACUGGGGAGGCCUGUCGCAUUCUAGAGACAGUUCAGAAAGCAGACCGUAGUCGCUUGCCACGCUGCCUACCAGGAAAUCUCCUAUUGAAUGCAUUCCUGCAAUGUUCUGGGCGAGCAGGGUCAGGUUGGAAUUAGCCGACAGCGGAUUUGUCUGGGGUCUCAAGAUAAAAGGGAUGGUCCCCGGUAAUUUUACCGCACACUUGGCUGAUACCUCGAGGCACCUGUGGGAUCCCACCUCUGCUCUCCCCACCCCCUUCCCACCGCUGGCCAGGAGGGACCGGUGAAUUCUGCCCGUCAGUGUUUUCUCUUCUCUCCUCCCCAUCUGACCGGAGGCUGAGCUGGCUGCGAGCAGCCUGAGGUCCUCCCCGAGUGAGGAAUCCAAAGGCUGUUGGGAAGAGACACCCGACUCUUCUCUUCCCUGAAGGAAUUUGACAAGUCUCAGCCCCUCCAGCAGUAACGUGGGGAGGGAUGGCUGGGGGUGUUGGACCUGGAACGCGAAUAAAGAGGAGAGAUCAGCUUUGGUGCAGCUGGGGAGACGAGGAGGAGCCGGCCAAGUCCCUCAAGAUGUGUCGGCUAGAGUCUGGCCAGUGCGGGCUGCCGGGCCGGAGCCAGAUGGAGCCGCUGGCCACGCUCAGGAGCCUCUGCCCCCGUAUGGUGUGGUGUGGUCCCGGGCCUGGCUCAGGGUGGCCGCUGCUCCCAUUCACAGCCCUGCCCUGCCCUUGGCUGGACUGGGAAGAUCAGAGGGGGAAGCGGAGGGGAAGUUGAUUUUGCUCCUUGUGACGCAGUUGUCUGCGGGGCCUCUGGCGUUUGCAGACUUGGGGUGGGUGCUUCCCCGUUGAUUUUCCUCAUUUUGUUCGUCAUCUGCUUCCUUGCUCCCUGCUUACCGGGCUGGCUUCUGCUGCCAUGACACGGGCAUUACGUGUCCCCAGCCAGGCUAGCACCACGGUUGGCGUCCCCUGAGAGGGGGACCGGGCAUAUCUGGCACUCGGUUCUCAACCUUUGAACCCCUGCGCUCUGGGAGCCAGGAGGCAGAGUGGGGCCUCUCCAUCCGGGGUCCAGCAGAGGUUAACAGGGCUGGUGGUGCCGGAGCUGCGGUGGUGUGGCCUGGCCAGGAGGCGCUGGGGAGGGGCCCCGCCGGGGGACCUGAUUGGUCAGCACCUUCUCUGUUCCACUGAAUCCUGAGCCGGUCGGGGCCGUGAAUUGUUUAAUGCAUAUCUUGGCUCUGUCCCCUGGCACGAGGGCCUCCGAGGCUGCAGCCACAGUUUUAGCGAGGAUGUGUACCUCGUGCUGGUCACUGUUUUGGGCACGUUGCCUCCCUGUGAGAUAUGAAAGAGAUACUGCCCUUUCCACUAGCAGGCUGUCUGUGGGAGGCCCUCCUUUUGCGUUGCUUUUCUGGGCCUUGGAGUGUCUGUGAAGAAGGCCUAGGCUGGGUUUGAUUCCUUGCUGGCUCCUUUCACAGGAGGCUGCUCGCGAGCUGGUGAAGCCAGAGAAAACCUCCAGGCCCCGAGGCCCGUGCACAGCCUGAUGCGAUAGUGUCGGGCCUGGGCAGGAAGGAGCAGGGGCACGAGGAUGGAGCGAGGCACGCGGGGACGUGGUCGCGCAUCGUCUGACCACAGGAUCGGGGCAGCGGGGGUGGGGUGGGAGGAUGCGUCCGGCGUUCAACCAGCGGUGCCGGCUGCAGCCUGGAAUGGGCCUGUGUGUGCGUGGAGCCCAGGUCAGGGUCUGUAAUGAGGCGUGAGGCUAUGAGAUGGGCAUCGGGACUCUUGGUCCCGGCAGAGGGUCCCAGGAAAGGGAAACUGACUUUCGUUAAGCGUCUGUCUUUGCUGGUCUGAUUUCAUCCUCAGAGCAACCGCAUGAAGUAGGUAUUACUUCCCUUCAACAGAUAAGGAAGCCGUGCGUAGUAAUUCACUGAACCAAGGUCACAUACUUGGCAAGUGGGAUUGUUGAGCUUUAAACCCCGGCACUUUGGAUUCCAAAGCCUGUGCUUUUUCUUCGCCCUCUUGGGUGGAAGUCAGACAUCUUUGGGAGCUAAGACCAUCAGAGAUCAGGCAGCCGGGAGAUCUGACGGAAACCGGUGCGAAAGGACAGGUGCCUAGGGGGACGUGGCAGCCACUGGCCAUAGCCAUGCCAUAUCCCUUUCGGGGGGAGGGGGGCAAGGCAGAGGCAGCUAGUUUCUGGUGUCCCUGAACAGGCAGGGCUGAGCAUGGCAGAUACACCCACGCCACAAGUGUGCGCCCAGUCUCUGCUUCGUGGCGGGGCGUGUGCUAGGAGCCGGGGACGCAGAACUCUACAAAACCAAGUUUCUGCUCUCCUGGGAUGUACUUUCUCGUGUAGGGAGAGGUCGUUCACGAUAAUAAAAAAGGAAUUAGGAACUAUAUAAAGUAUGCAGAUACAAAAAGGCGGACACCCACCCGUAAGAAGCAGCGGUCCCAAUGUUGGUCGGGGAGGGAAUUUGAGAGACUGAAGGAUCUCGACCACCUGGGGAAGCCAUAUUGAUGGAGCCCCCAGCGUUCAAGUUGAUAGAGUUGCUGAUGCCUCUCUUCUCCUAAGAGCUGGAAGAACCCCCCAAGGUCCCCAAAGCUUACAAGAACGUGCAGUGAGUCAGGGAUCAAGGUGGCAGUAGACGUCAAGCCGUUGGUCACCAGCAAACGGAGGUUUUUCCGUUAGCCAUGGCUGCUCUUGGCCUAACGUCUCCCCCCCUCACCAGGUGGCAGCUGGCGCCUCUCUGCCUCGUCGCGGUGCCCCUCUCUCGUCCACACCGACAGGGGAGCGCUCGGGUUAAGUCUUCGCCAAGUCACCAGUAAAAUAUGUGCCUGCAGGAGACAGAAGUCAGCUCAGGCUCCCCUGGCAGAACCCGCGGUUCCAAGAUUAUCGCGAUAGGGACGGGUCAGGGGGCGGGAGAGGGAGGAGAAGUCACCUUGUGCCAGAUGCUUGGACAAGUUUUGUGUCCAAAAGAGGUUGAGGCAAGUUGGUGGCUGGAGAUGGGGGAGGGGAUGUCUCCAGCGUGUGCGGCUCCAGGGCUCAGGAGUUGUUUACAGGGUAGAAGCUUAUGGUGAGUCAGGCCACGUGAUUCUUCCCUCCCUGGCCCCGUGGUCGAAGCCUGCCCCACUUGAACCUCGGAGACUGCCACCUGCUGCCAGGGGGCAGAUGUUGCACCAAGGUGCGGUGUGGGUCUUGGGGUGUGGUUGUGGGAACUCCGGGAAAGGGGGCGUUCUGUGGCGUGGUAUAGAAGUCUCCACAGUCCCGUGUUCUGGCCCAGGAUCCCGUGGUAAAAUCUUACUCACUUUACCCUUUUGGGACUCACUUUCAUUAUUUAUCAGAUGAGGGGGUUGACCCAGAAUCUUCUGGGAGGUGCCUGCCGACUCUGACGUGGGGGCUACCUGGGUGUUCGCGGAGGUGUUUCUUAGGCAGAAACUCAGGUCGGGAACGAGCAGGCCUGACUUACGGGAGAGGGGAGGGGCCUUGAAGGAUCUGAGAACAGCUACAGUCCUGUUUGCUGCCGGGAUGCUGUCACCAUCAAUUAGGGCAGGUGGGUGGAGACAGUUUUCCAGGAACUCUUCAGGAGCGAGCGGGAAGGGGCCGGAGAUUGCGUGAAGGUGUCUCAGGAAGGUCACCCAAGUGACAGGGGUUGUGACCUCUGGCUCCCACCAAGGGGCCUGUCUGGAGCUGGGCAGUGUGGGAGCCGCUGGGGUCUUUGCUGUGCCACAGGGGCUGACCUGAGAUGCCACCGUGCUCUAGGGAAGACGCUCUGUCCUUUGUGACCCUGAAUCCUUGAGGGAACACGGGACUACGGGUCCCGUGUCCUGGGCCUUGCCUGAGACGUCUGUUCAGGGUCUGUGCCCCUUGCUGUCAGGAAGUCUUCUUUUAUAUUUAGCCAUUUUUUUCUCAUGUGGUUGUUUAAGCCCUUCUAUUUAAAAAAAAAAAAAAAAAAAAGACAAGAGAAAAAAAACAAAAAACAAAAACAAAAAUAUCUCCGAGCCGUUUGGUUCCAUUUUAGCUUUUCAGUCUUGAGUCACUGUUUUAAAGGUAGCAAAAGUAAAACACACGCAGGGAAGCUCAAGGCCCCAGACCCUCGUGGGCUGUUGUGAAAGGCCAGCCCGGGGAUAUGGCGGCCUCUGUCCCCAACGUCCCCCGCUUCUCCAAGGCUGCGUGGGUAGGAGCCCCUGGGGCUGCGGGCACCUGCUGCGCGGGCCACCGAAUGGAAUGCAGGGUUUUUCAAAUUAGCAAUAUGCCUUCAAGACACGAUCCGUGUGCUGCUUUACUGGACACUUACGCUGGGACUCGUAGCUGUGAGCCCACCCCCUUCCCCACCAGGGUGGGGUGGCAAACAGGGAUUUGGGCCAGGAUUCAGGCAAGAGCCGAACUGAUCCGUGACCGACGUCUUAUGCGCACCGUGUGUUGUUUUUGCAGCUCUUUUCAGAUUCGCUGGCUUGCUUGGUCCUCACACAGCCCUGUGAGGGUCGGCGGUGGGAUCCCCGUGGGUGUUCAAGCUCAGCCUCAGACAGCCCUGCUGAGGUCCGGUUUCUUGUACCUGCUUAAUUUGGGUCACCGCACCCCCCCCCCCCCCGCCCCCAGGCCCUCCGACUCCAGAUGUCAUUUCCUUGGGUUUCAGUUGUGCUCUUUAGCUGAGCAGGGGGGCAGGGCAGGGAUGGGGAGUGCAUCUUGGGUAGCCGACUUGAUCUCUGUAGGUUGCAGGUUUCUUUUCUACGCAUCGAAUGGGGAAGGGAGCCUCCACCCAGGUUCUCCUGUUCUUGGAUUGUUUCAACUUCUCUUACGAGGAGUUCUUAUGAAACCUGGCUUGCCCUCCUUGACCAGGAAGCCAGCCAUUCACCAUGUGUCUCUGGUGAGACUCCCUACGUUUGGAAGCUUCUGGAACAUACGGUGCUUUAGACCGUUCCGGCACAUCUGUCGGGCACUUCAGGCAUGUGCAUGUAGCCCUGUUUCUGCCAAGUGGCUCACUUAGAAAUGAAGCCCCAUUGUGGGGCAUUUUUUUUCCAACAGAUUUAUAAGGUAUGCCCAGAGCUUUCUGCCCAGCGUGUGCAUCGUGUAUACGUUAUCUGUUUGCUGGCUAAUUAACAUACAGCACCCGCUGGAAGGAUUGGCCAACGUAUACUGUAAGCUGGUGGAACCAGUGGCUUCAGCUCUGAACGUUGCUUUCUGAUAGAGUUGAAAAAGUAGGCCUUACCCACAGAGGGGAAGGUGGAUCAGAGAACGCCUGGGCAUCAGUGUUCCCUGGAUACUGGGCGUAAGCCCACUCUUUAUGAGGAGGGUCGAGGCACAGCCUGGACUGUGUCUUCUGGGCCGCAUGGCCCUCUGAGUGGCCUUUAUUCAGAGAGACCCAGAGCGAGCCUGUAUGAAGGGAGAGAGAAGUGCUUGUCUUUGUUUAUGGCACCCUUAACUCGUGGUGGUUUGGGCUCACCUCGGGCACGUUUCUUGAAGGAUCGGGGUCGGACAGCGUGGCAGCACGCAUAUGUCUGUCCGUUUGUGUUCCCGGAUGCAGGCUUGGCUCAUAGAGAAGCCCUGCCAUGGGGAAUCCAUAGAAGAAUUGUUUUGCUGGAGCGAAGGCUUUGGAUAACUUUUGUGUGAAGAUGCGUCACACCACACCCAGAUCUUUCUGUUCUCCUGGAGGAUGGGAAGGAGGAUGGCAGGACCUGUAGCUGGGAGGCGAUCUAGGCCAGCCUUCAGGGAGGGCUGUGGCGGCCUCUUCGCUGAGGGCUCCCAAAGAGACACAGAGCUUCUUUAUCUCAGAAGAGGGACUGGAUGUCCCUGUCGAGGUCCCUCGGGUCCUGAGCGUGUGGGACUGUGAGGCUCUCCCUGGAACAGCGUGAACUUCGGGUACCGGGACCCAGAGCAGGUUGCACAUCUUUUCUUUCUGCCGUGGAGGCAAGCCUAACCUCGGUGGGCCCCACGAGCAUCGGGCCUGGAGCUCUAACCUUGUUCCCUCCUGCAGAGAGAAUUCCCAGAACUGACCCGAACAGCAUUGAUAUUAUUUGCAGAUAAAAAAAGGAGAAAGCCAUGUUGUCCCUCAUCGCUGCCAGGAAAGAGCCCUGAGCGGCUCUAAUCCUGUCUUUGUACCACUGCCACUCCCCACCCUUGCUGACCGCCCCCCCCCCCCCCCCCCCCCCCAGCCUAGGGCCCUUUGAUAGGCACUAGAGAUGUGAAUGAGUUUGGUGGGAAGGCCAAGGGCAGGGACAGACAUGGUUUGCUGGGAAGAAGGUAGGACAAGGAAAAGGAGUAUCUCAGGGCAGGCCCACGGGCACACAUGUGUAUUCAGAUGGACAUACUCUUUACUGGUAACGCCAGAGUCUGACAUGAACCAGUUAAUGCCUAAAUGAGGGUUGAUUUCGUGUGGAGAAUCAUACAUCAUUUUGUGUUUAAGUCUGCAGCUUUAGCAUCAAAAGGCCUGACAGGCUGGGGACUUUUCGCUGGGCCCUCCUGUCUGUAAGAUCAUGCUCAUUUUAUAUUGAUUUUCUGUCUCCUUUCUUUCCUGUUUUCCACUCUCAUGCAUUCCUUAGGCGUACGUGAAUAUUUGUCCACGCAUUCGUGUUACGACUUCCUUGGGGUACCGUUCUUUUCAGUGUCUCCGACAUCAUUGAACGUAUUGCUUUUAUUUAAAAUGUGAACAGGCCAGAGGCUCACUGCAGAGGGGAGCCAUCCUUGCACUGCCCGCAGAAUCCUCUUCUCUACCUUGUUCUGGAGUAGGGCAUGUGGAGCCCUGAGGAGACGGGAAUCAAGGGUGUCUGUGGGAACCAGCCAGACCCCGUGCCAUGCCCCCUCUUUGGGAAGGGGUUGCUCAGGCAUGAAUCCCCCACCCCUAACAUUAUUAGCAGUUUCUUCUUUUCAGCUUGAACCCUGAGUAGUGGCCUUGAAAGUCCAAGAACACCUGUCACCCUGCUUAGGUGAGGGCGACAGAGAGGGACGGGGACAGACGGGAAGGGGACACACGCUCCUGGCCACGGGCCUCUCUCCAAGACAGGUGAACUCUGUGUUCCAAAAGGAACUCAUUUAAUCUUUUGGCCCCAAUGGAAGUUGUUUGUAUUUUCUCUCCCUCUCUCUUCUCCCUCCUCUCUCUCUCCCUCAACACCCCCGCCUCCACCCUCCAGCCUCCAAAAGAAUUUAAUCUGCUGGACAACAAACAAUACUGUUAUAAAACUUUGAAAACAAGAGGGUGAGGCCUCCCUGACAAGGAGAAGGGCAUGCCGGGUAACGGCCGAGGGAGCCUGCCAGGCCCGGGACGGAGCCGGGCGAGGGCCCAGUUGGCCGGGUACCUGGGCGCCUGCCCCCACCCAGCCCACCAGCCCAGCCAUCCCCAGUCCAGAGGGGAAGGAACCGAAACAAAAGCAGGGGCAGAGAAGCGCCUGGAAAGGGGAAGUUGUACGUGUUCCCCUCUCUCUGAUCUGAUGCGAGUGCGCCAGACUGUGAAACUUCCUCCCCCACCCCUCCCCCGCCAGCCUCCCUCCCUCCUCGUCCUGCCUCCUCCUGCCUCCUCCCACCACUCUCUGUUCCAGGCCUGAGGCCCGAUAACAGAACAGGGCUGGCCUAGGUACAGCCACCGGCCGGCCGGCCGGCUGCAGGGGAAGCAGGCAAGGAAGGUGUUCCAAGUUGGCUUUGGACUCUGGACGUACCCUCUGCGUCCCCUUCCUGCCCCCAGCUAGAGAUGUGGAGCCACGGCGCGAGGUGUGCCCCAGUCCACGUGCCCCGCCAGGGGUGUGCCCAGCUACCGGGAGAACCUCCGCUCGGAGGUUAGUGGGUCUGUCCCACUACCCGGUGUCUGCUGGAGGCCAUGCUCCCAGGAGGCCGUCAGACUCGUACAGGUGGCCUGCUCUCCCUCCAGAGGGAGCCGGGCUGAGCUGUGGAGCCCUGGAGCCUCCAGAGGGGCUCAGGGGACAGAGACUUGCUCCCCGCAGCAAGCAGGCACAGGGUCCUGGCAGCGGGGUGCCUGGUGGGGUUACCGUGUCUGCUGCUCGGGGUGACCCAGCUCUGCCUGGGGAGCAGGCAAGCUGGGCGCUGGGGCAUCGCCCCCCAGCCUUCUGAGUGGAUUUCACCUGAGACCGAAGUUUCGCCGCCACGCCCACCUGCACUGCGUGGAGCACAUGAUUUGGGACGGGAGAGUGAGAAGCAGCGGUGGUCUGCCUUUGGCCCGAGGUUGUUUGGACCCGUGAACCGUGUGGUGGGCAUUGUGUUUGUGUAAUGGGCUGUAGGCGUGCUCGCUUUCCUCUCGUGGGAAGCAGUUCAGGGCAGUGCCCGUCCUCCUGCUCUGCCUGAGCGAAGCCUCUCUCUGGGGAAGUGUGGGGGGCCCCCCCCCUCUUCAUUCCAUCGCUCCUCCUUCUCUGUGCUCCCCACUGUCCCCUGCUGCCCCCCCACGCCCCACGGCACCCCAAGGCAUCCCAUCCUCCCAGCCAGCCGACCAGCCAUCCCGAGCCUGGGCCUGUACUGAAUCUGGAGGAUUUCCAGAUGCGGGUCUUCUCUGGUGUUGAGGCGGGACAGAGAACCGAACCGGGCGGAAAGCAGCUGCCUGGGAACUCAGGCCGCGGUACCCCGGCCCCAGGGAAACCCGGCAUUGCUGAUGUGGGGCCCACGUGGUAUGAGAAGGCUGUGACCUCCUGCCCUGUUACCUCCACAGGCAUUUGAGGGGCUCAGUGGGUCUAGAGCGUGUUAUUCUCACUUCGGGAUGCCGGGUCUGGGACGUGUAGGGAUCCCUGGAUGCCCCGCCCUCCUUUUGGGGGCCAAGCUGCCCGGAAAAGAGCCAGCUCCAUGUUUCCUGCCUCCCUCACCCUCCAUUCCCUCCUCCCUUGCCCCCCGUGCACAUACCCAUACACAUUUUAUCACCCUUUCCUCUGAUUCAUUAACCACAGCUAGUUGGCAACAGGCCCCCACCCUGACAGCUCAAGACAAAAUGUCCAGGACACUGGGUCCGGCCUGGAGCUGAGUGACAGGAAGCUGGGCCGGGCCUCUCGGCUCACGCAUACAAUGGGCAAGGACCGUGUGGAGUGCAGAACCUUCCUCAUUUUCAGAAGGGUCUUCCCCAGGCCCCUCUCUCUCACCAAGAUGACUCUUCUUCGCUGCCAGGAGCCUGGAAACCAGCAUCCCGGGUAGCAGGAAGACCUGAUCUGGGCUCUGCUUCCGGCACCCCUCCCCCGCGCCGGCUGGAGCUUGCGUCAGUCAUGUAAGUAGCCGUGACUCAGCACCCAGCCUGGUCGGGAGGGAGGCAGAAGACGCCUCCCAGGAACCUUCCCAGCAUUCUGGAUUUGAACACAUGGUGGUGGCUGAACACACUGAACGAGCUGGCGGCCUUCGGUUCCUGGGGGUGCGUGUCUGUCCGUUCCGCGGGUUUGCUUAUAGGUCUCAUAACCCGGGGUUCCUCUCCUUCCCGUUUUCAUCCCGUGUUAUUUUUUGGACACCAUGCCUGGCAUAGGAUUUUUAGGACUUUAAAAGGCACAGACGGCAUCAUUUCUAGAACGCAGCAGAAGCUCUCUUUGCAGUCUCCAGACUGCCCUUUAAACCGAUGGCCCAUGAAUCAUCUUUAACCCUCAGAUGUUUUUGUUUGACUUACAGAGUUUUCGUUGUUUUUGUUUGUUUGUUUGUUUAACGUGUCCGAUUCAGACAUGCUUUUAGACAAAACACAGCCUCUCCAGGUCACUGGACUUCUGCUGCACGAGGUCUCUGCCUCUCUGUCCUCUUUCCCACCCCAGCCCUCAAGCAUUUGAAUGCACGGAGACUGGUCUGCAUGAGCCCUCCCUCAUUUUGGAAAAACUGGGGCCCAUUCCAGGGAGGUGCGGGUCCCCCGUUCUCAAGUCUGGGCCGCGCAGGAAUUAAAGCCCCUGUGUUCUGAUUCACUGUGUGGUGACCUUUCCUCCACCCUCGGUCGCUGCCCGGGCAGAGGAGUGUCUAGGCAUGAGGGGGUGGAAAACCCUCCAAAUAGGACGUCUGCACAGAAAUGGACGGAGGCUGCACCGUGCUUCCCAGACCUUCUCCCUGCGUGGUGGCGUACCCAGCUCUCUGGCUGGGCGGUUUCCCUUCCCCGACAGCGCACCAGACUCUUCCCACUGGCCCGUGUGCGUGGGACUGUUGGGCCAGGCUGGGACGAUCACACCGUCCGCCUUUGACAGCAGAGCCCUAGCAGGCUGGGGCCUCCAGCCCCCUUAGACCACCUGGCCCCGUCUAACAAGGGAACAGAAACACCAGCUAGCUUCAGGGCCGAUGCUUCCUGGGUAGCGGGAGAGACUGUAACGAAUCCCCCUGAUGACCACGUGACGUACGUGCGUCCUGAAGGACAAGAACUAGGUGCUGUGAGAGGGCGUAACCCAACACCUGGCUCACCUGGGGAAAGCUUCAGGCGACCUGCGUCACCUGGGAGAGGGUUGAUGGGGUGGUAGCCCUGGGAGAGUGGACGACAGAGAAUGUUCCAGAAAGAGGGAAUGGUGUACGCAGAGGCCUGCUAGGGGAGGAAGGAGGCUGUCUGGAUCACUGAAAGACACCUGUGUGACAAUACCUUGGGAAAGGUUUUGUGGAUACUGGCAGUCGGGGGUUACUAAGGAGGAAGAGUUCGGCUGGAGUAAAAAGCAAAAAAGCUGAGAAGUAGCAAAGGUAGAUCUCCAACCCCCUCGUUUUAUAGGACCCCACAGAAAUGACUCUCAUUUACCACUUACUUCCUGACCUUAAAACCCUGGGAGUUAACCUGUGUCGCGGGGCCCAGCUGUUGACUGCAGGUGCCCUGUGUCAGAACCGCUGCCCAGCUCCUCCCUCAGUGGCUGGGGCCUCGCAGAGCCCCUGGGCUCGGAGCCCAGUGCUGGGGUCAGAAUCCAGAGUCCAGCACAGCCAUUGCUGGUGGUUCAUCUCCAACGCCUCCCCCAACCGCAGCUACGCCCUAGGAGAGCACAGAGGCUCCAGAGGGGCAGGAGGAGUGGGCGAGCCAGCUGGGGACACCGGGCCCCUCACGGGACCAGCUGGGCUCCCAUCUCCACCAGGUUAAACGUGUUGUGCAGUCAGUCACAUCCACGGCCACGCAGAAACCUUGCCUAGGACUCCCCCCCCCCCCACCCUUGCUCACAAUUGAGUUCAAGAACAGAAUGAGAUGAUAGACCAGCCGUGGAGCAGGUGCAGUGGACAGAGGGGCAGGAACACAGACUCUGGAGUUAGACUUGGGGUCUCUCUACCACGUAGUAGUCACGUGACCGUGGCGAGUCCCCGAACUACAUGAAGGAGCAGUUUCUCCUGCAGGCGCGGGAAUACUACUUGCUUCGCAAGACCGACCCAAUUACAAAGCACACCUCAGUGUUCAAAUUUUAUUUCCUUCUCCUGCCUGCAGCGGCACAUGCUGUGAUUUCUGGGAGCCACAAUAAAUACAGGCCUGGAUCUGGAAGCCUUCAGAGCUGGUAGACAGCCCGAAAGAUCCAGAUUCUACUCUGUCUCCUCUUUCCUUAGUUGUGGCAUCCCAGGAGAUACAGACCUGUUUUCUCAGCUUCCGAUGACCAAAACAAAAGCAAACAAACAGACAGAAAACCCGACACAUUUAGGAGAUGGGAAAUCUAAUUUGAACACAGGAUGCAAAUCUUAUUUUCAGACACGUUUUUGAAAACAGCACAAAACUCGGUCCUUGUGUUAGAGGAUUAUCUACUUAACACCGCUUCAGGACACGACAUUUGUGUGUGCGUGUCACAGCAGAGGUUAAACGAAGAUUGCUAAUGUUCUGACCCUUACUUGAGGCUGGCAAGGUGGACCCCAGGCUCUUCCUGAAUAGGGCGCAUCAGGAGUUGCCCCCGAGCAGGUGAAACUCACCUGGCUCGAACCUCCUAGGCAGAUAGGACGCUUGUUUCCUGAUGACGUGACAUAGUGUCAGAAGACACUGCGUGCUGUGAAAUGUUUUCGAGAGCAGGGGGCGAUGCUAAUGAAAACGUUAACGCAUUCUCAUAAUAGCUCUGGGAUACUUCCCUCCAUCACACGUGUAAUAAACUGUUAGGACUGGUUGUCCAGGGUCAACUAGGCUCCAUGAGUUUUGUAUUGCUACCGUCUGUGUGACGCGUCAGCCGCGACUUUCACAUUCCUUGAGCAUCCCUGGCUAGGUCCGCUCUGUGCCUCUCUCACGGACCGCGAUGUCCCGCCCCGAGUGGAACUGCAAGAAGACAGGGCAGCACCUGGGUCUUCCGGUUGUGUCUUCCUUCUUUCUUCAAUGAGAUCCUCUUCUUCUGGAAGCUGGUUUCACAUGGUGGCUUAGAUUUUUCCAUCUUUGUAUCUAGCACCAUUUGAAAUCAGUGUUUUAGGAGUAAGAAUUGCGGCGCAGCAAAGGGCCACCUGCAGAGGAGCUCUCGCUGGUGGGACAGAGCCCCUCCAUCUGCCGCCUGAGCCGGUCCAAGAGAGGAAGAACUUGAAAAGGAAAAGUGCGCCGCAGCGUAUGUCCGUUGCGGGUUGUGGAGGGGCGGCCGUGCGGGGAGGGUGUUUGUGUUUCAAAGAAACUCCGAGCUGGAGCAGGGGCCGAGGUGAUGCCUGGUUGUAGCACCUGGGAGCACCACCGGGCGCUCACCUGUCUGUAGGGCCUCUGACCGCGGGGACCAGGCGAUGCCGGCUCCUCUGGUACUCGAUUGUAGCGGGGGAGGGGCGAGGCUGUGUGCCUGGAGGACGGUUCCAUCCCCAUCGGCGUUGCACCCCCUCCUAGAGGCCCCGGAACACCCAGCUGCACUUGCAGUGCGGCUGGAAUCAGACUUGCCGCCUGCACGGUCAAGUGCCGGACCCCCCGGGAGCACCACCGGACCCAUCUCUUACACAGGCUGACCGAUUUCUCCUGGUGUUCAGAGUCUGUUUUUGUCUAGCACCAUUUGAAAUCGGUUAUGAUGUAGGGGGAAAAGCAGCAGCCUCGAGACCUCACGCCAAGUCUGGUGAGCAACAGCCUCUGUUCUCCUGGAAGACGUGGUCUCCCGGAAGACGGAUGGGCAGAGCGUGGGGAAGGACGAUCACGCUUUUUUCACUAGCUUCUUUCACUGCAUUAAUGAUACCUUAUUGCGGAGGUAAGAGAGAAUUGAAUGCAGUUUUAAAAACAAAUCGCUGUAACCUAUCUGAUGUCCUGGGGUGCAGUUUGCUAAAAUGUGGCAAUGCUGUGUAUUCUGUAAAUGGCUGCUGUUGAAUUCUCUUUCUGUUAAGAGUCUAUUCAUGCAUCUUGACCUGAAUAAAUAUUUUACUCUCUUCAAUCAA